AAGGGGAAACUAUACUAGAAUAAAUUUCAUACAAUUAAAAUUAAAUAUUAAAUUUGCUAUUUUCAAGAUAUUAUUCCAAUUUUCAUCACUUUUGUUAACACUUUAUUAUUACAAACAAUAUACAUUAAUCAAAAUCAUUAGAUGCCAAGACUGUAAAUCUGUAUCUUAUCCAAAAAAUAAUAAAUCUUUAAUACACAUAAUUUUUAUUCUGAAGAUACUAACUACAUAUUAUAGACAGAUGAUUAUUUAAACACCCAUCGGUUACAAUUAAGAAAGAUAUAAAGAUGUAAAUAAUCAUAUUAAAAACAUAAUCAUUUUUCCCAUA